rnacentral:rRNA from 1 species
UGGCGGCGUGGAAUAGACAUGCAAGUCGGACGGGAAACUACAUGAAGCUUGCUUUGAGUAGUUUCCAGUGGCGAACGGGUGCGUAACACGUGAGCAACCUGCCCGGAAGAGGGGAAUAGCCCGAGGAAACUCGGAUUAAUACCGCAUGUGGUCCCUCCUGGCAUUAGGAGGUGAUUAAAGGUGGGGAUCCUUCGGGACCUGCCGCUUCCGGAUGGGCUCGCGGUCUAUCAGCUUGAUGGUAGGGUAAUGGCCUACCAUGGCUAUGACGGAUAGCUGGUCUGAGAGGAUGGUCAGCCACACUGGAACUGAGACACGGUCCAGACACCUACGGGUGGCAGCAGUCGAGAAUCAUUCACAAUGGGCGAAAGCCUGAUGGUGCGACGCCGCGUGGAGGAUGAAGGUCUUCGGAUUGUAAACUCCUGUCAUCAGGGAGUAAGUCAGUUGGCGUAAAUAGCGUCAGCUGUUGUAAGUACCUGAAGAGGAAGAGACGGCUAACUCUGUGCCAGCAGCCGCGGUAAUACAGAGGUCUCAAGCGUUGUUCGGAUUUACUGGGCGUAAAGCGUGCGUAGGCGGCGAGGUAAGUCAGAUGUGAAAGCUCGGGGCUCAACCCCGAAAAUGCAUCCGAUACUGCCUUGCUAGAGUAAUGGAGGGGAGUCUGGAAUUCACGGUGUAGCAGUGAAAUGCGUAGAUAUCGUGAGGAACACUAGUGGCGAAGGCGAGACUCUGGACAUUUACUGAC